rfam:Picea glauca, whole genome shotgun sequence.
ACAUGCCUACAACAUAGCAUUAAUGCACGAGAUCCCAUUAGAACUCCACAGUUAAGUGCGCUCGGGAUAGAGUAGUACUGGGAUGGGUGAUCGCCCGGGAAGUCCUAAUAUUUUACAUGCC